rnacentral:rRNA from 1 species
GACGAACGCUGGCGGCGUGCCUAAUACAUGCAAGUCGAGCGAGACUCUUCGGAGUCUAGCGGCGGACGGGUGAGUAACACGUGGGCAACCUGCCUGUAAGACUGGGAUAACACCGGGAAACCGGUGCUAAUACCGGAUAAUCCUUUUUCUCUCAUGAGGAAAAGCUGAAAGUCGGUUUCGGCUGACACUUACAGAUGGGCCCGCGGCGCAUUAGCUAGUUGGUGGGGUAACGGCUCACCAAGGCGACGAUGCGUAGCCGACCUGAGAGGGUGAUCGGCCACACUGGGACUGAGACACGGCCCAGACUCCUACGGGAGGCAGCAGUAGGGAAUCUUCCACAAUGGACGAAAGUCUGAUGGAGCAACGCCGCGUGAGCGAUGAAGGCCUUCGGGUCGUAAAGCUCUGUUGUUAGGGAAGAACAAGUACCGGAGUAACUGCCGGUACCUUGACGAUACCUAACCAGAAAGCCACGGCUAACUACGUGCCAGCCGCCGCGGUAA